AUUGAACGCUGGCGGCAUGCCUUACACAUGCAAGUCGAACGGUAACGGGCCUUCGGGUGCCGACGAGUGGCGAACGGGUGAGUAAUGUAUCGGAACGUACCUUUCAGUGGGGGAUAACGUAGCGAAAGUUACGCUAAUACCGCAUAUUCUGUGAGCAGGAAAGCAGGGGAUCGCAAGACCUUGCGCUGAUUGAGCGGCCGAUGUCAGAUUAGCUAGUUGGUGAGGUAAAGGCUCACCAAGGCGACGAUCUGUAGCGGGUCUGAGAGGAUGAUCCGCCACACGGGAACUGAGACACGGUCCAGACUCCUACGGGAGGCAGCAGUGGGGAAUUUUGGACAAUGGGGGCAACCCUGAUCCAGCCAUGCCGCGUGAGUGAAGAAGGCCUUCGGGUUGUAAAGCUCUUUCGGCCGGGAAGAAAUCGCACGGGCUAAUACCCUGUGUGGAUGACGGUACCGGAAUAAGAAGCACCGGCUAACUACGUGCCAGCAGCCGCCGUAAAAC
rnacentral:rRNA from 1 species